UACGGAGGAUGCGAGCGUUAUCCGGAUUUAUUGGGUUUAAAGGGUGCGUAGGCGGGCUUUUAAGUCAGCGGUAAAAAUUCGGGGCUCAACCCCGUCCGGCCGUUGAAACUGGGGGUCUUGAGUGGGCGAGAAGAAGGCGGAAUGCGUGGUGUAGCGGUGAAAUGCAUAGAUAUCACGCAGAACCCCGAUUGCGAAGGCAGCCUCCCGGCGCCCUACUGACGCUGAGGCACGAAAGUGCGGGGAUCGAACAGG
rnacentral:rRNA from 1 species